GGGCUGUGAAAAUUGCUUCUUUUUAGGACGAUGAUCUAAUGACCAGGGGUCAUAUGAAAUGUCCAUCAGAUAAGCGUUGAACAUGAUGGAAGGGCAACAUGGUAGUUGUGACUUCCAUGUUGUCAGGCACAGUUCUAAUUUUUACCGUAAUUUUGGGCUACAGAUAUCACGGAAAGUAACCUCGUUGCAUGUGUAAUGAAAUGAUUACGGUCUCACAGAAGCCACAUGAGACCAUCGGUGAUGGGAAUAUCUUCUCUGCAAAAACAUAUAUAGACAUCACAUCAUCAAAACCCUAAAAACCAUGACUAUUACUAACAAUGAAGAAAAAGAAGAAGAAGAUGAUGAUGUACAUAAGUUACGUACCUCCGUUCAGACAUCCAAAAUUCCUCCGCUGCCCUUUCAGCAUAUAUAAUGGCGAAUUAACAGAAAGAGCUAGACCAGAAUUGGAAAAAUUAAAAAAUAUAUAUAUUUCCAUGUAUAAAACAUGGAAUAUGCUUGGCUCCUCAUACGCCAUCCACGGAGGCCAUCGAUGCUCCGGUGGGCUCUGCAAAUGGCAUACAGGGAGCCAGGCACAUAUGUAUGUGUAUGCAUGGCGUCAUAACAUCCAUGUAUGAAUGAAUUUUUUGCAUGUAUGUAUCUAUUUACUCCCUUAAUUAAACUAGCUACAAAAAAAAGAAAAAAAAAAGAAAAAACCCAACUAAGCCCUUCUCUAAACCCAUCAUGUAUGCUUGAAAAACAUGUAAUAUAGAUAUAAUAUGAUCUUUCUUGGUGAAGAUCAGGAGAAAUUAGAUGAAGGGGAUGGGAGAAGGGGGGGAGACAGAGAUAUUUAUGGAGGAUGUAGAAAGAUUGUGGGGAGAAGGGAACUAGGUCAUAAUCAAAUGGGGUUUCAGAGCCCCACAAAAGGGCUAUUGAAUUGGCAAAAAACAAGCAAACCGCUGUGCUAAACUUAGGGGGAUUUUAAGGGCUGGGUGGCUAGUUUUUGUGGGGUUUUCAGAGGGAAAGAAGGAAGAUGUGGGGUUGAUAUUGCACCCCAGCUCCCCACUAAAUAUAGACACCGAGAGCGAGAGAGAGAGAGAGAGAGAGAGGGUUUGCUAACCACGCAAUUUCCUAAGCUAACCCUCAUGGUGUUUGAAAUCUCCUUUUCUGGGUCGUAAAGCAGAGGUUGCUUUUCUCUUCUCUGAACCUCAUUUUGUCUGGGAGUGCUUGGAAAGACAUGGAUUCCUCAUCAUCCCCUCUACUUCCCUUUAAAUAAAUAAUAAUUGUAAUAAUAAAAAAAAUAAAGUUAAAGAUGGGAAAAAGGGAGAAAUAUUUAUACAGUACCAUCCCCCAUGGCCGUAUGCCAUAUAUAACUCUUUUUUUCUUUUUUCUUUUUAAUUUCAGUACAAUUUUAUUUAAGGACGACAGGGAUUCGCACUUCAACCUUUUUUUGUUUAGAUUUUAGAAUAAUCGAUCCACGCCACUUUCGCACUUUGCUACCUAAUUCACCUUUAUUCUGUCCACUUAUCUACCCUUCCCAUGCCAUUUUCUUUUUAUAAAGCAAAUUGCCACUAAUUAAUUUAUCUAAAACAGCUUUUCCAUGCAUUUGAAGAACUCUAUAAUUCGACAUCUUUUUGUGCAAAAAAAAAGGGUAAAAAUUGGAAGAUUGGAAAAGAUUUUUUUUUUAACUGGCUACAAUCUCCACCAUUUUAUUUCUUACAUAAAUUUUCAGUGAUUUUUUUACUAGAGCCAUAUAAUUCAGAGUAAAUCAUUGAGUCUACAACAAGAAAUAUCGUCAUUACUAACAACAUUAAUUAUUAGCAACGACCCAAAAGUCACUACUGAUAAUUAAGGGCUUACUAGCAUCGACUUUUUAAAGUUGACGCUAAUAAUUAAGCUAUUAUUAGCGUUGACAUUUUAGUCGUUACUAAUAUUUAAAAAUAAAAAAAAAUAAAAAAAAAAAUAAUACGAUUAGCGUUGACAAGACAGUAUGAUAUAUCGUCGCUAAUAAUGUUAAGUGAUUGUAAAAGAAAUUUGGAGUAACAAAUUAAAUUCAUUUUUGGAAGAAUUGUUGUGCUAUCCAGAUUCAAUUGACGGUAAUAACAAAAAAUUGGCUGUCUCACUUAUAAUAAUAAAAUCGUGUAUGCAUAUUAAUGCCAUACCAAAUAUGCAUAGAAUUAAUCAUACAGAUUUUAUGAGAUAAUCAAAAGGAGCUAAAUGUUUUACCUAAUUUUUGACCUAGCUAGCUAGCUAGCCUUGUGAUGUUCUCUCCCUCUAUAUAUUUGUUUGGAUAUGGUUCCAUUUUCAAAGUAAUUUUCACUUCAAUUAUUUGACCUCUCAGUGCCAGCAUCAGAAAUAACCUUAUUUGUACAUGACCAACUAGCCAAAAAAACAUUUCUAAUUAUACUUCUCACCUUAAUUAUAUGAAUGUUUCUACAAUUAAUAGUCAGUAUCUUCAAGAGAAUCUUUAAUUAGCUGGCAAAAUAUGGCCACGAAUAGAAUUUGAGUGUUGACAUCAAAACAAUAGGUGUCAGAAUGGCCUCUUUUUUCUUUUU
rnacentral:precursor_RNA from 1 species